GAUGAACGCUGGCGGCAGGCUUAACACAUGCAAGUCGAGCGGAGACUUCGGUCUUAGCGGCGAACGGGUGAGGAAUACAUGGGUAAUCUACCAUCGAGUGGGGAAUAACCAACCGAAAGGUUGGCUAAUACCGCGUACGCCUCCGGAUCUUCGGGUUCGGAGGGAAAGCUGCACUGUGAGUGUAGCGCUCUUUGAUGAGCUCAUGUCCUAUCAGCUUGUUGGUAGGGUAACGGCCUACCAAGGCUUUGACGGGUAGCUGGUCUGAGAGGACGAUCAGCCACACUGGCACUGCGACACGGGCCAGACUCCUACGGGAGGCAGCAGUAAGGAAUAUUGCGCAAUGGGCGAAAGCCUGACGCAGCGACGCCGCGUGGGGGAUGAAGGUCUUCGGAUUGUAAACCCCUUUCGGGAGGGAAGAUGGAACGAGCAAUCGUUCGGACGGUACCUCCAGAAGCAGCCACGGCCAACUUCGUGCCAGCAGCCGCGGUAAGUGCGACG
rnacentral:rRNA from 1 species